UACAGAGGAGCCAAGCGUUGUCCGGAUUGACUGGGCGUAAAGCGUGCGCAGGCGGUUUUGUAAGUCUGUCGUGAAAUCCCCGGGCUCAACCUGGGAAUUGCGAUGGAGACUGCAAGGCUAGAAUCUGGCAGAGGGGGGUAGAAUUCCGACGUGUGAGCAGUGAAAUGCGUAGAGAUGUGGAGGAACACCGAUGGCGAAGGCAGCCCCUGGGUCAAGAUUGACGCUCCAUGCACGAAAGGCGUGGGGAGCA
rnacentral:rRNA from 1 species